GCCCACAACACGAAUUACAGAAGUGGCUUCAGCUGCAAUACUUCUACAUUGGUCUGAAUCCAAUUAGCAAAGCUAACAUAGACUUUGCAUGUGAUAGUUCUCUCACAAAAAGAACCGCGGAUCAAGUCUACCAAAUCAUGGAGGAUUUGGCAUUCAUCAGUGCACCGUGGUCAACAGAAAGAACAGAUGUAAAGAAAGUAACGGGGAUACAUGAGGUAGAUCCAUUGACAGCAAUC
rnacentral:lncRNA from 1 species